CCUACGGGGUGCAGCAGUGGGGAAUAUUGCACAAUGGGCGCAAGCCUGAUGCAGCCAUGCCGCGUGUAUGAAGAAGGCCUUCGGGUUGUAAAGUACUUUCAGCGGGGGGGAAGGUGUUGUGGUUAAUAACCACAGCUAUUGACGUUACCCGCAGAAGAAGCACCGGCUAACUCCGUGCCAGCAGCCGCGGUAAUACGGAGGGUGCAAGCGUUAAUCGGAACUACUGGGCGUAAAGCGCACGCAGGCGUUCUGUCAAGUCGGAUGUGAAAUCCCCGGGCUCAACCUGGGAACUGCGAUCGAAACUGGCAGGCUAGAGUCUUGUAGAGGGGGGUAGAAUUCCAGGUGUAGCGGUGAAAUGCGUAGAGAUCUGGAGGAAUACCGGUGGCGAAGGCGGCCCCCUGGACAAAGACUGACGCUCAGGUGCGAAAGCGUGGGGAGCAAACAGGAUUAGAUACCCGAGUAGUC
rnacentral:rRNA from 1 species